GAUUAAGUUAUUAAGGGCGCACGGUGGAUGCCUUGGCACUAGAAGCCGAUGAAGGACGUUACUAACGACGAUAUGCUUUGGGGAGCUGUAAGUAAGCUUUGAUCCAGAGAUUUCCGAAUGGGGAAACCCAGCAUGAGUUAUGUCAUGUUAUCGAUAUGUGAAUACAUAGCAUGAGUUCCGA
rnacentral:rRNA from 1 species